rnacentral:rRNA from 1 species
GACUACUAGGGUAUCUAAUCCCGUUUGCUACCUUAGCUUUCGUGUCUGAGCGUCAGAAAUGGGCCAGGAGGCCGCUUUCGCCACUGGUGUUCCUCCGGAUAUCUACGCAUUUCACCACUACACCCGGAAUUCCACCUCCCUCUACCACUCUCAAGUCUGAUAGUUUUGAACGACCUCUCCCAGUUAAGCCAGGAGCUUUCACAUCCAACUUAUCAAACCGCCUACACACGCUUUACGCCCAAUAAAUCCGGAUAACGCUCGCCUCCUACGUUUUACCGCGGCUGCUGGCACGUAGUUAGCCGAGGCUUAUUCUAAGGGUACUGUCCUUCCUCAUCCCCUUAAAAAGUGCUUUACAACCCGAAGGCCGUCAUCGCACACGCGGCGUUGCUGGUUCGCGCUUUCGCACAUUACCAAUAUUCCCUACUGCAGCCCCCCGUAGG